AUCCUGUUAAGUUGUCACUUGAAUUGAUGUCACCCAGCACAGUCACAGGGGUCUUGUACUAAAUUUUGUGGGCAGAAUAAUUGUAACAAACUAGAGUUGGAUGAAUAGAAGACCUAAUCAUCAGAGCCAUUGAAUUUUGACAUUGGUUGGAAUAGGGACCAUUCUCUAAUUCUGCUCAGCAACUGCUAUUGAAGAGAAACCAGUCUCACAAGAAGCAAGGUACCGACACCUGCCUCUGGACGCUGUUGUCCACCUCGGGCACCACUGCCUACCUCUGGACAUGGCCACCUGAUCCCAGACACUCCCCUUUUCUUCAAGCUACCACUACCUCUGGACAAUGCCACCUGCCUAUGGACACCACUGCCAGCCCCUGGACACCACUUCCUUCUUUGGGGCACUGUCCCUGCCCCGUGGCCAACACCACCUGCCCUGGUCCCUGCUGCCUGCUGUGGACACCGCUGCCUGUCCCUGGGCACUGCUGGCAGCGCCCUAAUGGACCUUCCCUUUUCUCAGUCCUCUCCUGUGCAAACUAGAAGAUGAUGCCUCUUCCCUCUUCUUCGUCAGCUAUCAGCAACCAUCAAGACAGAGACACCUGAGCUUUCAGGGGACAGCGGCUCUUCAGUUCUUACUGGAAGAGAACUCAGACAUUGUGCCAGGAGACAAAUCCAAGUGACAGACGCUGUGCUCUCUCGGUUGAGCCUAGAGGCUCCAAGCCAUGACUCCACGCCCAGGAGAUGGGUUCUGCCCCCAAAGGUCUCUACAUCCCCGCGGGUAGUCUGUUCCCCGACCCCUGCCCUGUCCCCGGAUCAGUGGCCACAGGACCGAGAGGAUGUGCAAGACCCUGGGGCUGGGGCUGCACAAGACAUGCUAGCUAUCUAUGUGACUCUGCCCUAUGGAACUAGGCGGGAGAGUUCAAGCUUGUAGAAGCCAUGGAACAGAAGCAAGCAAAAGCUUGUCAGUAAAGUGACAGUUUAAUAUUUGUGUAAACCAAAUGGACACACAAUAAAUUUUAUAUUGGCA
ensembl:lncRNA